rnacentral:rRNA from 1 species
UGAAACCGUCUAGAGGCAAACGGAGAGGACCGUAUGGUCCGCCCGUCGGAUUCAGUCCGCCUGCGCGGCGGGGCCGUCGGUUGCGCAUCCCUCGUGGGAGCGCGCCGGCGUCUCGAUCGUCGUGCGGCGGCCGUACUUUCGGCGGGCGGAGCGCCACGACCGGUUSGCGGGCGGCGAGAAACUCUCGGGCAAGGUGACCUCCGCCUCGGCGCAGGAGCAUACAGGCCCGGCGAGCGCAGGCCCGUCCGCGGACCGAGGAAGACCGUCGCGGUGCGGCGUCGACCGCCCGUCGUGGGCGCGCGUUCAGCUCGGGGGGACUGGUUCCAGUGCCCUCGGACCGCGUGCGUCUAGCGGCGGGACGGUCCGGCGUCGCGCCUGGGGUCGGUGGCGAAACGGCCGGCAACCUGUCCGACCCGUCUUGAAACACGGACCAAGGAGUCUAACAUGUGCGCGAGUCGUUGGGCGUUACGAAACCCGAAGGCGCAAUGAAAGUGAAGGCCCGGUCUCCGGCCGGCCUGGGUGGGAUCCGGACGGUCGCGGCCGUCCGGCGCACCACCGGCCCGUCUCGUUCGCCUCGUCGAUGAGGCGGAGCAAGAGCGUACACGUUGGGACCCGAAAGAUGGUGAACUAUGCCUGAGUAGGACGAAGCCAGAGGAAACUCUGGUGGAGGUCCGCAGCGAUUCUGACGUGCAAAUCGAUCGUCAAACUUGGGUAUAGGGGCGAAAGACUAAUCGAACCAUCUAGUAGCUGGUUCCUGUCGAAGUUUCCCUCAGGAUAGCUGGCGCUCGUCGUGAGCAGUUUUAUCCGGUAAAGCGAAUGACUGGAGGCCUUGGGGACGAAACGUCCUCAACCUACUCUCAAACUUUAAAUGGGUAAGACGUCCGACUCGCUCGAUUGGAGCCGGGCAACGAAUGCGAGUGCCAAGUGGGCCACUUUUG